UAGAGUUUGAUUCCCUGGCUCAGAUUGAACGCUGGCGGCAGGCCUAACACAUGCAAGUCGAGCGGUAACAGAUCUAGCUUGCUAGAUGCUGACGAGCGGCGGACGGGUGAGUAAUGCAUAGGAAUCUACCCGGUAGUGGGGGAUAACCUGGGGAAACCCAGGCUAAUACCGCAUACGUCCUACGGGAGAAAGGGGGCUUCGGCUCCCGCUAUCGGAUGAGCCUAUGUCGGAUUAGCUAGUUGGUGAGGUAAUGGCUCACCAAGGCAACGAUCCGUAGCUGGUCUGAGAGGAUGAUCAGCCACAUCGGGACUGAGACACGGCCCGAACUCCUACGGGAGGCAGCAGUGGGGAAUAUUGGACAAUGGGGGCAACCCUGAUCCAGCCAUGCCGCGUGUGUGAAGAAGGCCCUCGGGUUGUAAAGCACUUUCAGCGAGGAAGAACGCCUAGUGGUUAAUACCCAUUAGGAAAGACAUCACUCGCAGAAGAGC
rnacentral:rRNA from 1 species